UUAGGUACAAAUACAAUGUGAAAAGGAGUCUUCGUUUACUCGAUUUCUGGUUGAUGGGUGGAGUCAAUACCCGAACCAAUCACCCUUGCAGAUUAAUGAAAAAUCCUUUUGCCGUCUUCAUUAAUCGGCAAGGAUAAAUUUGAGGUGCGUUCUUGACUUCUUCCCUUCUUUCCGCUUCAUCAUUUUGUAAACAAAAAUCCCUUGUUCCACAAAAUUACUUCAUCGCCAUCAACCUAAAAUAGCAGUAUAAGAUAAACUAUCAAGAAUAUUGGUAUGCAGAUUAACUGUUCGAUGAAAUGCUUAACAGAAGGUUUAAUUUUGGUUAAACAAAAUUAGACCACAUUCAUAUCACUCGGUUUAAAGGGUCCUCGAAUUAACAUUCAGUGUUAUCAUUAUCAAAUCAUGCAUUGGAUGCAAUAAAUAUGUGUGUAUAUAUAUACAUAAUGGAGAAUUAAAUACCAGCAAUGUUUUUGGUGAUGCAGUCUGUGAGAAACUAUGAAGAAUAUUGGGUAUGCAGACUAAAUGUUCGAUGAAAUGCUUGACAGAAGGUUUAGUGUUGUUAAACAAAAUUAGACCAAUAUUCAGCGUCAUCAAUAUCAAAUCAUGCAUUGGAAUGUGCAAUAUAUAUGUAAAUAUAGUUAUGGAGAAUUUACCAGCAACGUUUUUGGUCAAGCAGCAUCAUUUAGGACUGCGCCUUUGAUCCUUUCAACCGUGCAUUUGAUGAGGCUGUUCACCGUUGCAACGGAACCCAAGGAGAGCUUCGCAGUGGGAACGGAAUCGACCAAUAUCUGAAAGGCGACGGUCAGCAGGGAUCCGACCUCACUG
rnacentral:lncRNA from 1 species